GAGACAGAUGUCAUUUCUUGACACAUCUAUUUAUUUCUUCUCGUAAAAUUUGCUGGUUAUUUUUCUCAAAAAAAAAGUUAUUAAGUUUUUGAUUACACCAGAUUAAUUUAAUCUUAUCCAUCAAGAAACUAAGAAGGUACAAAAAGUACUGGUCCAACCGAGAGAAUGUCUUGAUAUAUAAGUCGGAAUGCAAUUCUACUCCAAAGCUUAAGCCAUUAAGGGGGUAUUUGGUUGGGG
rnacentral:lncRNA from 1 species